rnacentral:rRNA from 1 species
CGUAGGUGAACCUGCGGAAGGAUCAUUACCGAGUGAGGGCCCUCUGGGUCCAACCUCCCACCCGUGUUUAUUUUACCUUGUUGCUUCGGCGGGCCCGCCUUAACUGGCCGCCGGGGGGCUUACGCCCCCGGGCCCGCGCCCGCCGAAGACACCCUCGAACUCUGUCUGAAGAUUGUAGUCUGAGUGAAAAUAUAAAUUAUUUAAAACUUUCAACAACGGAUCUCUUGGUUCCGGCAUCGAUGAAGAACGCAGCGAAAUGCGAUACGUAAUGUGAAUUGCAAAUUCAGUGAAUCAUCGAGUCUUUGAACGCACAUUGCGCCCCCUGGUAUUCCGGGGGGCAUGCCUGUCCGAGCGUCAUUGCUGCCCUCAAGCACGGCUUGUGUGUUGGGCCCCGUCCUCCGAUCCCGGGGGACGGGCCCGAAAGGCAGCGGCGGCACCGCGUCCGGUCCUCGAGCGUAUGGGGCUUUGUCACCCGCUCUGUAGGCCCGGCCGGCGCUUGCCGAUCAACCCAAAUUUUUAUCCAGGUUGACCUCGGAUCAGGUAGGGAUACCCGCUGAACUUAAGCAUAUCAAUAAGCGGAGGAAAAGAAACCAA